GACAAACGCUGGCGGCGUACCUAAGACAUGCAAGUCGAACGGGUGCUCCUGCUUCGGCGGGAGUGCGAGUGGCGGACGGGUGAGUAACGCGUAGGAACCUAUCGCCGGGUGGGGGAUACCAGCCGGAAACGGCUGUUAAUACCGCAUAGCUUCAGUGAUGAAGAAAGCCGCAAGGCGCCGGGUGCGGGGCCUGCGUCCGAUUAGCUGGUUGGUGGGGUAAGGGCCUACCAAGGCGACGAUCGGUAGCUGGUCUGAGAGGAUGGUCAGCCACACUGGG
rnacentral:rRNA from 1 species